CUUGCAUUGUAAACAAAAAUCAAGUUUGAGUAAAAAUAUAUGAAUUGUUAGUUUUACAUAUGAAACUAGAAAUUUUGGCUGCAAAACAAAACCUUUUGUGGUCCGAGGUUGAACCUAUUGGGCAGGGCUUACGCCGCUGAAUGAACCAGGAGUUUCUAUUGGACGACUGAGCGCUCGGUGUCUGCUUCCACCAUUAAACACCGACAGGAGGUGACUGUGAGGAGCGACAGGGAGACUCUACACCAGGGGUCUCAAACUCAAAUCAGGUGCAGGCCAGUUGCGGGCAGACCAUUACGGUUGACGGGGGGAUGGCGGCGCUGACGGUCCAACCGGCGAACAGUAUGGUUGAUGGGAGUACGCCAAAGUCGCUACACCCCGGCGGCGGCCGGAUGUGGCCUGAGGGGCGGAGUUUGAGACCCCCGCUAUACACUAUGUGAAAAAGUGAGGCGAUUGCUAUAAUCAUUCAUAAUGUUUCGGUCCAUCUCAGAUGCUGCAGGCAGAAUAUGAAAAGGAACUUAUCGUAAAUAAAACGUUAAUAAUGUAAAUAGAACGUUAUAUUAAGGUGGUAUAAAAAGCUGUUGUAGAAAAUGAUUCCACUAAAAUAUAACGCACUGGUCACUGCCGGACACACCUGAAGUUAACCGCCAAACCCUAAGGUCAAGCACAUAAGGGCACAGUCCUCUCUGCAUCAGCAGGACUGACAAAUGUAUGUAACCUAAUCUUUCCUCUCAGAUCCGUCUCACAUUGGGUGUCAGUGCAAGGAGGAUGGGCACUUUAAUGUGAUUGGAUACCAUUUUGCUGAGUCAUUGUGGCUAGCAUUGACUGUAGUCCCUGAUAGAGGUUUGGUUAUGCAGUAACCUUGUCAAAUGUUUUGGUCUCUGCUGAGUGAGGUAUUUUUAUGAGCAAUUUUCCAAUUAUACAACAAGUUCACAGUGCUGAAGGAUGCUUUCCACAUUGUAAGAGGACAAUGGAACACAACACUGACACAAUUCUCAGUCAGUGCAACGUAUGUCAGGGUAGUUCAGCUCUGUGUAUCAUCACCAAGCCAUAAGAAGUCAUGUGACUCGACACUGUCUGUGAGUGCCAUGUAGUUUGGCUCAUAAGUACAGACAGCCAGUCCAAUGCAGUCUGUGAGGUAUCUGUCAGUAAGCCGGCUCCUGUACUUUGAUUUGUACUUGCGAAAAUGCCAUUUCAGAGGUACGUUGAUCCAAAGUAGGCACUCACUAAGUGCACAUUCGCUGAGGAGAGGAAACUUCUCUCUGCUUACAAGUCCCUGUCCCAUAACCUGGCUUUCAGCUCUGUCACUUUGCAUAUGAACUCGCUCCAUGUCCUCUCCACCUAGCAAAGAAAAUGCUUUCUGGAAUUUGUCUGCGACUUCCUCUGUGUCACACACAGAAAAAAUAUUCUUUAUAGGUUCUUUAUAAGGCAGUGUGGUUCUACAAAGAAGCAUCACCUUUAAAAUAAUAAUUUUAUCUAUUGGAUGGUUCUACAUGUUUUCAUAUGGUUCUUUGGGAUAUUAACUGGUUCUUAAUUCUUGUUUGAGUUGUUAAAUGGUGGAGAAUGGGAAAAACACCUCUGUGCCAUAAUCGGUGUUAGAUAGUUAGCUGCCAGUUGACACACAAACACACACACACACAUAUACAUUUUGAAGAAUUUACAUUUGCCUGAGCACUUACCUAGCUAACGUUAGGUAAGUUAACUAACUUAACGUUAAUAUCCUUUGUUACGUUGCUGUUAGCUUACUGAAGCUAACCUAGUUAGCUGAUGUUAAAUUGUUAGCCUAAUAGAAAUAUAUAUUUAACAUUGACUGAUUAACAUUUACUGAACUGCUAGGAUACUGCCUGUGGGAUUUAUUUAAGAUAUCAAUCUGAGCUGGUUGGUGGGGUAAGACAGUAAAUUAACGUGUUUUUGCAGCUUGCAAGUGUUGUGUUCAAAAUGAAGAAACGCCGGACGGACGAAGGACAUCACGGAUCGAAAG
ensembl:lncRNA